AUCAACGCAGACCCUCUAUAGGCAACUUAACUAGUAGGAACACCAGAAAAAAGCGCACAGCAGUGCACUGCCAGUUAGUCACUAACUAGUGACUGUUUGAACCUGAAAUGGAACCAGAUAUCCACGAAGAUCAGCAAGGCCUGUGCCUGACCUCUCAGAGCUAAUGAGACUCUACAGAUACCUCCAGCAGAGGAAACAAACAAGGAGCUCAUUACAUUCAUUUCACCCCUGCAGGCGUUGCUGCCUCAAUACCUUGCCAUUUGGCAUAGACUCUGGCCCAGAGUACCUCCACAGAUGCCUGUCUCAGCUGCUGGACGCACGCCGGUGGAAGCUGGCCGGAUGCUAAGUGAAAAAAGGACCCUUGCCAAUGCCAGAGCAUCAGCUGACACAUGGGCAGCCCUCACACAAAGACCGGUCUAUACUAAAUAACACCCUGCUGCCCACAGCCCGCUGGAAAUGGAGCAAUGAAAUGCACAAGUGGAGAGGGAGUCACUGGCUCUGUUUGGACUUAAAGGAGGUUCAGCUCAUUACUGAAUGAACUUCAAUUUUCUAUAGAGAGCUACUACAAAUGAAUAGUGGUCCUGCUACAGUCUGAAGCAUUUGGUAACCUCCCUCCUAGGCAUCACAGUUUCUGGCUAAGUGUGUCUCCCUAUAAGACUGCCUAGACAAGACAGACAGUCUCAUGAUCAUAAAGGCAAGCCAUGAAUAAUAAACGGAGACACACAAAGAAAGAUUAAAUGAAAUACCACUGU